rnacentral:rRNA from 1 species
GAUGAACGCUGGCGGCGUGCUUAAUACAUGCAAGUCGAGCGAACAGACCAGGAUUUGUGUCCGCUGACUUAGUCACCGGAGAGGAGAGGGACACGGGUACGACCUAACUAUAGGACUGGGUUAACUUUGCGGGACCUGACCUAAGGCCGAAGAAUAUAUUGAAGCGCAUGGGUUAAUAGUGAAAUACGUAUUUGCUGUGGCAUAUAGAUAGAUCAGCGCCGCACUAGCUAGUGGGUAAGGUAACGGCUUACCACGGCAACGAUACGUAGCCGACCUGAGAGCGAGCACGGCCACACCGGAACUGAGAACCGGUCACGCCUCCUACGGGAGGCAGCCGUAGGGAAUCUUCCGCAAUGGGCGAAAGCCUGACGGAGCAACGGCGCGUGAGUGAUGAAGGUCUUCGGAUCGUAAAACUCUGUUAUUAGGGAAGAAAAAAUGUGUAAGUAACUAUGAACGUCUUGACGGUACCUAAUCAGAAAGCCACGGCUAACUACGUG